rnacentral:rRNA from 1 species
AGCGAACGCUGGCGGUAGGCCUAACACAUGCAAGUCGAACGGCAGCACAGUAAGAGCUUGCUCUUACGGGUGUCGAGUGGCGGACGGGUGAGGUAGACACCGGAAUCUACUUUUUCGGGGGGGAUAACGUAGGGAAACUUACGCUAAUACCGCAUACGACCUCCUGGUGAAAGCAGGGGAUCUUCGGACCUUGCGCGAUUGAAUGAGCCGAUGUCGGAGUAGCUAGUUGGCGGGGUAAAGGCCCACCAAGGCGACGAUCCGUAGCUGGUCUGAGAGGAUGAUCACCUAGACGGGAACGGAGGCACGGUACAGACUCCUACGGGAGGAAGCAGUGGGGAAUAUUGGAGGAUGGGCGCAAGCGUGAUACAGCCAUACCGCGGAAGGGAAGAAGGACUUCGGGUUGUAAAGCGAUUAUGGUGUGAGAGAAGAGAAGCAGGUUAACACCCCGCUGUUCUGACGGUACCGAAAGAAUAAGCUCCGGCUAACUUCGUG